GACAGAGGGUGCAAACGUUGUUCGGAAUGACUGGGCGUAAGGCGCGUGUAGGCGGCUCGGCAAGUCGGAUGUGAAAGCCCUGGGCUCAACCCAGGAAGUGCACUCGAAACUGCCGAGCUGGAGUCCCGGAGAGGAAGGCGGAAUUCUCGGUGUAGAGGUGAAAUUCGUAGAUAUCGAGAGGAACACCUGCGGCGAAGGCGGGUUGCUGGGCCGAUACUGACGCUGAGGAGCGAAAGCGUGGGGAGCGAACAGG
rnacentral:rRNA from 1 species